rnacentral:tRNA from 1 species
CCCUGUGUGGUGCAAAUAGUUAACACGCUUGGCUGCUAAACAAAAGUUUGGUGGUUGGAAUCCACCAAGAGGUG